AACAAACGCUGGCGGCGUGCCUAACACAUGCAAGUCGUACGAGAAAGGGUCCUUCGGGGCCUGAGUAAAGUGGCGCACGGGUGAGUAACGCGUGGAUAAUCUGCCCUUCAGUUGGGAAUAACUCAUCGAAAGGUGGGCUAAUACCGAAUAAUGCUGUGAGACCUCGGUUGAUCAGCCAAAGAGAGCCUCUGCUUGCAAGCCCUCGCUGAAGGAUGAGUCCGCGUACCAUUAGCUAGUUGGUAGGGUAAUGGCCUACCAAGGCGACGAUGGUUAGCUGGUCUGGGAGGAGGAUCAGCCACACUGGAACUGAGACACGGUCCAGACUCCUACGGGAGGCAGCAGUGAGGAAUCUUGCGCAAUGGGGGCAACCCUGACGCAGCAACGCCGCGUGAGUGAGGAAGGUCUUCGGAUCGUAAAGCUCUGUCGGAUGGAAAGAACCGCAUAGGGGUAAACAGCCCCUGUGUCUGACGGUACCGUCAAAGGAAGCACCGGCUAACUCCGUGCCAGCAGCCGCAGUAAUAC
rnacentral:rRNA from 1 species